UCUAUCUAAUCUCCUUUCUAUAUCUGUUCAGCUGUCACAUAUACACAUACAUAUAUUAGUAUGCAUUGAAGCCAAUCAUUGAGGCCUCAGCUGAUGACAGUUCAAGAGUUUCCAUGGAGAAAAGGCUUGGGAAAGCAGUCUCCACAAAGACGAAGAUGACAGGUUGUGGCCAAAGUCCUGUUUGCGUGUUAAGCACAAUGUUUUUGUUCAAAGAGUACAUUUAUAUGGAUGGCUUGGGAGGCUGAAGGACAUUGUGUUAGGAGGCAAGUGGGGUUUGAAGCACACCCAAGGCAUCCUCUGGCCUCCUCACCAGGCUUGUUUACUAAUGAUAAUGUCUUACUUUUCAUCAGUGAUACAUGUUUCUAUAUAGGAAAAGAAGAAAUUUGGAAGGAGAGCUAACAAGUUCAACUGAGGCUGAGGACAAUCAUCAGGCUAUCCUGUGACUUGCUUGGCUCAAUAGAAUGCAAUGAAAGUGAUGAUGUGACAGUUGGGAACCUGGACUUCAAGAGACCUUGCAUGAUUUUACUCUCCCUGUCACUCCUCUGCCUUUGUCAUGAGGCUUUGUGUGGGCCAGCCUGUUGCAGUAUGAGACCCAUGGAGCAGAGCCACAUCAGCCCAGCUCUUCUACCUAAGGCUCUACAUCUGUACCGGAGCCCAUCCAAGGGAACAAAGAGGUAUCAUACCCGUCCUAAUGCCAUACUGAAGACACUUUAAACAGGAACCAAAGGGAAAUAUAACACAGAGCUUUCUUGCUGCAACAAAAGAAAGAGGCAGAGCAGUUCCAGAUAACAACAAAGGACAAGAAACACCUUCUCUCUGAGGACAAAGACCUCCCUCAUGCACAAAAAAGAACAGUUCUUGUGGCUACAUGUCUACCUACCUUUUCACUGUAGCCAUAGCAUCACUUCUGUAAUCAGAGUCCCAAUUUCCUGUGGGAGACAGUGAAUUCCCUGCCGCCUUUAGACCUCUGGUAAGCAAAAUUGUAUCCAUUAAAAUCAUUCCAUUGUUGAUC